rnacentral:rRNA from 1 species
UACAGGGGGGGCAAGCGUUGUUCGGAAUUACUGGGCGUAAAGGGCCCGUAGGCGGCCAACUAAGUCCGACGUGAAAUCCCCAGGCUUAACCUGGGAACUGCAUCCGAUACUGGAUGGCUUGAAUUCGGGAGAGGGAUGCAGAAUUCCAGGUGUAGCGGUGAAAUGCGUAGAUAUCUGGAGGAAUACCGGUGGCGAAGGCGGCAUCCUGGACCGACAUUGACGCUGAGGAGCGAAAGCCAGGGGAGCAAACGGG